rnacentral:rRNA from 1 species
GCCCUGUUGAUUGGGACAACCCCGGGAAACCGGGGCUAAUACCAAAUGUGCUGCAUCUGCAUCAGUAGAUGUCGGAAAGGAGGCUUCGGCUUCCGCAACGGGAUGGGCCCGCGGCCCAUUAGCUUGUUGGUGGGGUAACGGCCUACCAAGGCUUCGAUGGGUAGCUGGUCUGAGAGGACGAUCAGCCACACUGGGACUGAGACACGGCCCAGACUCCUACGGGAGGCAGCAGUGGGGAAUCUUGCGCAAUGCGCGAAAGCGUGACGCAGCAACGCCGCGUGAGGGAAGACGGCCUUCGGGUUGUAAACCUCUUUCAGUUGGGACGAAGCCACGGCGGUUAAUACCCGUCUGUGGUGACGGUACCUUCAGAAGAAGCCCCGGCUAACUACGUGCCAGCAGCCGCGGUAAUACGUAGGGGGCAAGCGUUGUCCGGAAUCAUUGGGCGUAAAGCGCGUGUAGGCGGCUUGGUAAGUCCGCUCUGAAAGCCCGGGGCUCAACCCCGGGAGGCGGGUGGAUACUGUCAAGCUCGAGUCCGGAAGAGGCGAGUGGAAUUCCUGGUGUAGCGGUGAAAUGCGCAGAUAUCAGGAGGAACACCAAUGGCGAAGGCAGCUCGCUGGGACGUGACUGACGCUGAGAC